GCCACUGCUAUUGGGGUUCGGCUAAGCCAUGCGAGUGGAGGGCCUCCCGCAAGGGAUGGCCCCGCAGACGGCUCAGUAACACGUCGUCAACCCACCUUAGGGUGGGGGACAACCUCGGGAAACUGAGGAUAAUCCCCCAUAGGCGGGGGAGGCUGGAAUGCGUCCCCGCUGAAAGCUCAGGCGCCCUAGGACGGGACGGCGGCCUAUCAGGUAGUUGGUGGUGUGACG
rnacentral:rRNA from 1 species